GAUGGGGAAAAAGUGAUGACUAAAUUUUUUCCCCAUCAGUGUUGAUUUCUCACUGUUCAAGCCAGAUCGUGUCUGAUGCACCAUC
rnacentral:snoRNA from 1 species